GAGUGGACUAUCGUUCCAGCGGCUCAGGUUACUUCCAUUCAUUAACAUGUUCUAUCUGAUGUGGACAGAUUCAAUUCUGACGAUGAGGAGGAGGACGAGACUAUCUAGAAAUACCAUGAUGAAGAUGAAAAUCCUGCACCUGAUAGUGAUGAGGACUAGGAUGUGAAAUCAAUUGAUGUUUUAGUCGAUUCAAUCUGAACUCAUUUGUUGUAUAAGAUAUGUGCAUGUAGACCUUUUAUCAUAGUAGUUGUGGGAAAAUCCUUUUUACACAUCUCAAUAUGUUCGAAAGCACACUUAGCUGGCUAUUGAUCCGG
rnacentral:lncRNA from 1 species